GACGAACGCUGGCGGCGUGCUUAACACAUGCAAGUCGAACGGAAAGGCCCUGCUUUUGUGGGGUGCUCGAGUGGCGAACGGGUGAGUAACACGUGAGUAACCUGCCCUUGACUUUGGGAUAACUCCAGGAAACUGGGGCUAAUACCGGAUAGGAGCUCCUGCUGCAUGGUGGGGGUUGGAAAGUUUCGGCGGUUGGGGAUGGUAUCGCGGCUUAUCAGCUUGUUGGUGGGGUAGUUGCUUACAAAGGCUUUGACGGGUAGCCGGCCUGAGAGGGUGACCGGCCACAUUGGGCCUGAGAGACGGCCCAGACUCCUACGGGAGGCAGAAGUGGGGAAUAUUGCACAAUGGGCGGAAGCCUGAGGCAGCAACGCCGCGUGCGGGAUGACGGCCUUCGGGUUGUAAACCGCUUUCGCCUGUGACGAAGCGUGAGUGACGGUAAUGGGUAAAGAAGCACCGGCUAACUACGUG
rnacentral:rRNA from 1 species